rnacentral:snRNA from 1 species
AGAUGUGAGGGUAAUCUGGCUGUGACAUGUGUGACCCCAUUGAUCGACAGGGUUGAUUUGGAGGAUCUGCUAGGCAGUGUCCUCUUCCUUCNUCACCAUGCCGUGUGCAUGCCUCCCAGUGCUGUGUGCUUGGUGGAAGAGGGUGACCAUCUCAGACAGAACCUGCAUAUUGUUCUUUGGUCAAGGGUGUCCAGUAGCUGCACCUGCCCUGCUAGAACCUCCAGGCAAGCUCAAGUCCAUUUGCAGGUGGUCUUAUUGAAAAUGGCUCAUCCAUUUUCAAGGUGGGCAGCGUGCCGUUGCAUCCACGGCUCA